UACGUAGGGUGCGAGCGUUAAUCGGAAUUACUGGGCGUAAAGCGUGCGCAGGCGGUUGUGCAAGACAGAGGUGAAAUCCCCGGGCUUAACCUGGGAAUGGCCUUUGUGACUGCACGGCUAGAGUGUGUCAGAGGGGGGGUAGAAUUCCACGUGUAGCAGUGAAAUGCGUAGAGAUGUGGAGGAAUACCGAUGGCGAAGGCAGCCCCCCUGGGAUAACACUGACGCUCAUGCACGAAAAGCGUGGGGGAGCAAACAGG
rnacentral:rRNA from 1 species